rnacentral:ncRNA from 2 species
AAAUGAUAAUGGCAGACCUUCCGAAAGAAAGGGGCGCAAAGCUAUAGGGCCUGUAAAAUGGCAGCCAGCUACCAAA